rnacentral:lncRNA from 1 species
GUUUCUAGUCCAUGAUAGCAGCAUAAUCAAGGAAAGAAAAAUAAGAGAAGAAGAAAAGAAGAAGAUCAAGGAAAUGAUCAAAGAGUUGAUCACGAUCCAAACUUCAUUCAGAUUCGCAGGUUAAUUUUUCUUAGAGAAGAUAAAUCAAUUUUAAGAGAACUGUUCUAGGUUGAUCUUGAGUGGAUACCUGUAGAGGUCGGAUACUUGUACGGCUAAGAGAAAGCCUCUUCUCUUUCAAAUUCAG